UACGGAGGGUGCGAGCGUUAAUCGGAAUUACUGGGCGUAAAGCGUACGUAGGCGGCUUUGUAAGUCGGUUGUGAAAUCCCCGGGCUUAACCUGGGAAUUGCAGUCGAUACUGCAUGGCUGGAGUAUGGUAGAGGGUAGUGGAAUUCCGGGUGUAGCGGUGAAAUGCGUAGAUAUCCGGAGGAACACCAGUGGCGAAGGCGGCUACCUGGACCAAUACUGACGCUGAGGUACGAAAGCGUGGGGAGCAAACAGG
rnacentral:rRNA from 1 species